AUUGAACGCUGGCGGCAGGCCUAACACAUGCAAGUCGGGCGAGUGGCGGACGGGUGAGUAAUGUAUGGGGAUCUGCCUGAUGGAGGGGGAUAACUACUGGAAACGGUAGCUAAUACCGCAUACCAUCAGAUGUGCCCAUAUGGGAUUAGCUGGUAGGUGGGGUAACGGCUCACCUAGGCGACGAUCCCUAGCUGGUCUGAGAGGAUGAUAAGCCACACUGGGACUGAGACACGGCCCAGAAUCCUACGGGAGGCAGCAGUGGGGAAUAUUGCACAAUGGGCGCAAGCCUGAUGCAGCCAUGCCGCGUGUAUGAAGAAGGCCUUCGGGUUGUAAAGUACUUUCAGUAGGGAGGCGUUACCGACAGAAGAAGCACCGGCUAACUCCGUGCCAGCAGCCGCGGUAAUUC
rnacentral:rRNA from 1 species